rnacentral:rRNA from 1 species
CCAUGGGGGAACCCUGAUGCAGCGACGCCGCGUGGAGGAAGAAGGUCUUCGGAUUGUAAACUCCUGUUGUUGGGGAAGAUAAUGACGGUACCCAACAAGGAAGUGACGGCUAACUACGUGCCAGCAGCCGCGGUAAAACGUAGGUCACAAGCGUUGUCCGGAAUUACUGGGUGUAAAGGGAGCGCAGGCGGGAAGACAAGUUGGAAGUGAAAUCUAUGGGCUCAACCCAUAAACUGCUUUCAAAACUGUUUUUCUUGAGUAGUGCAGAGGUAGGCGGAAUUCCCGGUGUAGCGGUGGAAUGCGUAGAUAUCGGGAGGAACACCAGUGGCGAAGGCGGCCUACUGGGCACCAACUGACGCUGAGGCUCGAAAGUGUGGGUAGCAAACAGGAUUAGAUACCCUGGUAGUCCAAGGGCGAAUUC